CCUACGGGAGGCAGCAGUGGGGAAUAUUGGGCAAUGGGCGCAAGCCUGACCCAGCAACGCCGCGUGAAGGAAGAAGGCUUUCGGGUUGUAAACUUCUUUUCUGAGGGACGAAGAAAGUGACGGUACCUCAGGAAUAAGCAACGGCUAACUACGUGCCAGCAGCCGCGGUAAUACGUAGGUGGAAAGCGUGCUCCGGAUUUAUUGGGUGUAAAGGGCGUGUAGGCGGGAAAGCAAGUCAGAUGUGAAAACUCGGGGCUCAACCCUGAGCCUGCCUUUGAAACUGUUUUUCUUGAGUGCUGGAGAGGCAAUCGGAAUUCCGUGUGUAGCGGUGAAAUGCGUAGAUAUACGGAGGAACACCAGUGGCGAAGGCGGAUUGCUGGACAGUAACUGACGCUGAGGCGCGAAAGCGUGGGGAGCAAACAGGAUUAGAUACCCCAGUAGUC
rnacentral:rRNA from 1 species